rnacentral:lncRNA from 1 species
GGUCCCGUAUUGUUAGUUGUUGGCAGAUUUUGGGGGUCCCCAUAUAUUGGGUGGAUUUUGGGGGUCAACCUAUUUAUAUUUGGGGCGGAUUUUGGGGGUCCCUAUUUAUAUUGGGGUGGAUUUGGGGGUCCCCAUUUAUAUUGGGGUGGAUUUUGGGGGUCCCCAUUUAUAUUGGGGCGGAUUUUGGGGGUCCCCAUUUAUAUUUGGGGUGGAUUUUGUGGGGUCCCCGAUUUAUAUUGGAGAUGGAUGUUGGGGGUGAGUCCACAUAUCUCUCUCUUCCCAGCCCCCAAAUCCCCCCGGGACCCCCCAGUUUCCCCCUUUACCCCUCGGGGUCCCUCCCUUAAAGGGGCCGCGCCCCCAUUGUGGGAUGUGGGGAAGCCCUUAAAGGGGCCGCUCCCCCCGGUGGCUCCAUUGAUGUCACGCGGGGGCGGCCCACCCGUGACGUCACCCGGGGGAACCCGGGCUGUCCCCGCACCCCAUAACCCCGCCCCAAUGUCACCCCAUAACCCCGCCCCAAUGUCACCCUAUAACGGCCCCCGGGGCCGCACCGGCCCCAUUUGCAGCCCGACACGGAGACAUGCGGCCCCACAGAGGUGGGCGUUUGCCGCCCCCCCCCACCGUGAAGGAGCUGCUGGAAACGAUGAGGGGGGGGCGGCGGGACGGGCACGGUGAGUGGGACCCACAUAUAGAUCCUAUAGAUCCCUAUAGAACCAUAUAGAUCCUAUGGACCCAUAUAGGUCCUAUAGACCCUAUGGGCCCUAUAGAACCAUAUAGAUCUUAUAGACCCUAUGGACCCUAUAGAUCCUAUGGAUCCUAUAGAUCCUUAUAGACCGUAUGGAUCCUAUAGAUCCUAAUAGACCCUUUGGACCCUAUAGAUCCUAUAGAUCCUAUAGACCGUAUGGAUCCUAUAGAUCCUAUAGACCCUGUGGACCCUAUAGACCCUAUGGACCCUAUGGACCCUAUGGAUCCUAUAGACCCAUAUAGACCCUAUGGACCCUAUAGAUACUAUGGACCCUAUAGAUCCUAUAGAUCCUUAUAGACCCUAUGGACCCUAUAGAUCCUAUAGACCUCUAUAGACCCUUAUAGACCCUAUAGAUCCUAUGGACCCUAUAGAUCCUAUAGACCCUAUAGACCCUAUGGACCCUAUGGACCCUAUAGAUCCUAUGGACCCUAUAGAUCCUAUGUACCCUAUGGAUCCUAUGGACCCCUAUAGACCCUAUAGAUCCUUAUAGACCCUAUAGACCCUAUAGAUCCUAUGGACCCUAUAGACCCUAUAGAUCCUGUAGAUCCUAUGGACCCAUAUAGACCCUAUGGACCCUAUAGACCCUAUGGACCUUAUAGACCCUAUGGACCCUAUAUAGAUCCUAUGGACCCUAUAGACCCCUAUAGAUCCUUAUAGACCCUAUAGACCCCUAUAGAUCCUAUAGAUCCUAUAGAACCAUAUAGAUCCUAUGGACCCUAUGGACCCUAUAGUUCCUAUAGACCCCUAUAGACCCUUAUAGACCCUAUAGAUCCUAUGGACCCUAUAGACCCAUAUAGAUCCUAUGGACCCAUAUAGACCCUAUGGACCCUAUAGACCCUAUAGAUUCUAUGGACCCUAUAGACCCUAUAGAUCCUUAUAGACCCUAUGGACCCUAUAGAUCCUUAUAGACCCUAUGGACCCUAUAGAUCC